UCAGGGUUCGUGUUUCCCCUAUAUCGCCAUUUUCACUAGGGGGAUCCUGAUUUGAUCGCGAGUGUACGAAGUUAUUUACAUAAGUAACGAAGAAUCCUUGACACAGAAACGAGCCUGCUUAAUCAAAUUCUCAACAUUGAGAGAACAAAUAUGAAGAAGAUGGAAUUUCUUGCACGUGGCUUACGACACAGCAACGAAACGAGUUUCAAACAAGACAUUCACUGUGAACGUAACGAGACACAGAUAGACGAAAUGAUCUAUUAAGGGAAAUUCGAUGGAAAAUAUAGGAGAAAAAAUAGAAAAUUUUCUUAAAUUAACACGUGAAAUUAAAUCGUAUCUAUAAACAUUUUGCUGCAAUGAUAUCAGUAGUGUUAGAUGAAGUGAAAUUUUAAAUACAGCGGACUCUCGUUAUAUUGCCAGGCGAGCGAUUUGCUUUUCACAAAUUUUCAAUCAUGAGUUACGAAAAUGAUACAAUCUUAUCUUCCACUUUCUCCUUCGACUGAAAACAAAAUUAGUCGAAGUUUAUAAAAGAUAGAUAAUAUGAACUGCCAAAAAUAAAUAGGUUUGUAUUUUUACAUAGAGUUUAAAAUUAAGCUAAAGAGUUUAUUAUUCGUUAUUAUCUUUCCUGCAAGUUAAAAAAAAAAAUUGUUUCACAUUACACCGUGGUCUCUGUUGGUUAUUUCCAUAAUGCUAGAAUGUAUUGUGAAUGCAUUUACUUCAACAUUAUACGAAUUUCACAUCAUGGCAUUGUGCCAGAAUGCGUUGUGACUCUAGAGCAGCCGGAAUGGUCGUCGCCGGGUGACCCGCGCAUCACAUUUUUUAUAAACGAAUAAUUAAUAUCGACAAAAUUAAAAUUUUGAAAAUUCCUACCUUUCCGAUAUCGGCAUUUUUGCUGUGGAAACCUACUUUGUUAAAUAAUGAACAUCGAAAUACAACCAAUGAAUUUUAAUAUAUUAAUAAAUCUUUUAAACUAGACAUUUUCAAUAAUUCUCUAAUUACUCUAUAACCCGUGAGGUAAUGAGUUCGCUUAGUAGACCCUCGUUAUAUUGCCGCCGAGGGGCCUGUAGGAAUGAAAAAUUUGUCAAGCUUCCAAACUCCCAUUUGAAGGGGGGAGGCGAAAUAGAAAUAUAUCAUUUUAAACUUUAAUUUUUAAAGUUUAAUUCUCUUACUGUACCGAUCACAAGAAUCAUACAGUUUUAUAAAAAAA